AGUGGCGGACGGGUGAGUAACGCGUGAGAAUCUGCCUUGGGGUCGGGGACAACCACUGGAAACGGUGGCUAAUACCGGAUAAGCCGAUUGGUGAAAGAUUUAUUGCCCGAAGAGGAGCUCGCGUCUGAUUAGCUAGUUGGUGAGGUAAGAGCUCACCAAGGCAGCGAUCAGUAGCUGGUCUGAGAGGACGAUCAGCCACACUGGGACUGAGACACGGCCCAGACUCCUACGGGAGGCAGCAGUGGGGAAUUUUCCGCAAUGGGCGAAAGCCUGACGGAGCAAGACCGCGUGAGGGAGGAAGGCUCUUGGGUUGUAAACCUCUUUUCUCAGGGAAGAAGCUCUGACGGUACCUGAGGAAUCAGCCUCGGCUAACUCCGUGCCAGCAGCCGCGGUAAUACGGAGGAGGCAAGCGUUAUCCGGAAUUAUUGGGCGUAAAGCGUCCGCAGGUGGCGAUUCAAGUCUGCUGUCAAAGCACGGGGCUUAACUCCGUAAAGGCAGUGGAAACUGAAUAGCUAGAGUGCCGUAGGGGUAGAGGGAAUUCCUGGUGUAGCGGUGAAAUGCGUAGAGAUCGGGAAGAACAUCGGUGGCGAAAGCGCUCUACUGGACGGCAACUGACACUCAGGGACGAAAGCUAGGGGAGCGAAUGGGAUUAGAUACCCC
rnacentral:rRNA from 1 species